CAGUGGGCCACUGCUUUCAGAAGAACCUUGCCUUUCUGAUCCUCUUGACCUCUGGAAAUGUUUGCCCGUUUUUAAGACUGAUCUACAAAUUAAGAGCAUACUUGGCCCACAUCUGCUUCAAGAGACACAAACUCACUGUGCUCAUGUUCCAAAGGAAGUAACACGCCACAGCAGCAAACCCGAUCAGUCCUAUUGCAAGACUAUUGCAUCAGACUGAUAUAGCCAGUUGGAGACUGAAACUGGUAAUGAAUGUAGCAAUCAGUUUAGUGAGCCAUUGAGCGGUGGGAGACAAGCAGCAUUUCAUCUUCUAAGGUCUUCACUGACUGCUUAAUUGAUUCCAGAAGAUGUUUAAGAUGUUAUAAUUCACGUUAUAUGGGAGCUGCUGAGUCACAGCCU